GGGGUCGGAACUUCGGUUCCGGCUUACGUGGCGCACGGGUGAGUAACACGUGGGAAUCUGCCCAUCUAUGGGGAAUAACUGCGGGAAACUGCAGCUAAUACCGCAUACGCCCUUCGGGGGAAAGGCUUCGGCCGUAGAUGGAUGAGCCCGCGUCCGAUUAGCUAGUUGGUGGGGUAAUGGCCUACCAAGGCGACGAUCGGUAGCUGGUCUGAGAGGAUGAUCAGCCACACUGGGACUGAGACACGGCCCAGACUCCUACGGGAGGCAGCGGUGGGGAAUAUUGGACAAUGGGCGAAAGCCUGAUCCAGCAAUGCCGCGUGAGUGAUGAAGGUCUUCGGAUUGUAAAGCUCUUUCGACGGGGAAGAUAAUGACGGUACCCGUAGAAGAAGCCCCGGCUAACUUCGUGCCAGCAGCCGCGGUAAUACGAAGGGGGCUAGCGUUGUUCGGAUUUACUGGGCGUAAAGCGUGCGUAGGCGGCUUAUCAAGUCAGAAGUGAAAGCCCGGGGCUCAACUCCGGAAUGGCUUUUGAGACUGGUAGGCUGGAGUUCGGGAGAGGGUAGUGGAAUUCCCAGUGUAGAGGUGAAAUUCGUAGAUAUUGGGAAGAACACCGGUGGC
rnacentral:rRNA from 1 species